UGGGAAUUUUGGACAAUGGGGGAAACCCUGAUCCAGCCAUCCCGCGUGUGCGAUGAAGGCCUUCGGGUUGUAAAGCACUUUUGGCAGGAAAGAAACGUCGCGGGUUAAUACCCCGCGAAACUGACGGUACCUGCAGAAUAAGCACCGGCUAACUACGUGCCAGCAGCCGCGGUGAUACGUAGGGUGCAAGCGUUAAUCGGAAUUACUGGGCGUAAAGCGUGCGCAGGCGGUUCGGAAAGAAAGAUGUGAAAUCCCAGAGCUUAACUUUGGAACUGCAUUUUUAACUACCGGGCUAGAGUGUGUCAGAGGGAGGUGGAAUUCCGCGUGUAGCAGUGAAAUGCGUNUNNAUGCGGAGGAACACCGAUGGCGAAGGCAGCCUCCUGGGAUAACACUGACGCUCAUGCACGAAAGCGUGGGGAGCAAACAGGAUUA
rnacentral:rRNA from 1 species